rnacentral:rRNA from 1 species
GACGAACGCUGGCAGCGUGCCUAAUACAUGCAAGUAGAACGCACAGUUUAUACCGUAGCUUGCUACACCAUAAACUGUGAGUUGCGAACGGGUGAGUAACGCGUAGGUAACCUGCCUGGUAGCGGGGGAUAACUAUUGGAAACGAUAGCUAAUACCGCAUAAUAUUGAUUAUUGCAUGAUAAUUGAUUGAAAGAUGCUAUUGCAUCACUACCAGAUGGACCUGCGUUGUAUUAGCUAGUAGGUGAGGUAACGGCUCACCUAGGCGACGAUACAUAGCCGACCUGAGAGGGUGAUCGGCCACACUGGGACUGAGACACGGCCCAGACUCCUACGGGAGGCAGCAGUAGGGAAUCUUCGGCAAUGGACGAAGGUCUGACCGAGCAACGCCGCGUGAGUGAAGAAGGUUUUCGGAUCGUAAAGCUCUGUUGUAAGAGAAGAACGGGUGUGAGAGUGGAAAGUUCACACUGUGACGGUAUCUUACCAGAAAGGGACGGCUAACUACGUG